CACGUAGGGGGCAAGCGUUGUCCGGAUUUAUUGGGCGUAAAGAGCUCGUAGGCUGUUCGAUAAGUCGGGUGUGAAACCUCCAGGCUCAACCUGGAGACGCCACCCGAUACUGUCAUGACUAGAGUCCGGUAGGGGAGCGUGGAAUUCCUGGUGUAGCGGUGAAAUGCGUAGAUAUCGGAAGGAACACCAGUGGCGAAAGCGGCUUCCUGGUCCAGCACCGACGUUCAGGCACGAAAGCGUGGGGAGCAAACAGG
rnacentral:rRNA from 1 species